ACUCCUACGGGAGGCAGCAGUGGGGAAGUAUUGCACAAUGGCGGCAAGCCAUGCAUGCAGCCAUGCCGCGUGUGUGAAGAAGGCCUUCGGGUUGUAAAGCACUUUCAGUAGGGAGGAAGGUAGUGUAGUUAACACCUGCAUUAUUUGACGUUACCUACAGAAGAAGCACCGGCUAACUCCGUGCCAGCAGCCGCGGUAAUACGGAGGGUGCGAGCGUUAAUCGGAAUUACUGGGCGUAAAGCGCAUGCAGGCGGCCUGUUAAGUCAGAUGUGAAAG
rnacentral:rRNA from 1 species